AUACAGAGGGUGCAAGCGUUAAUCGGCUUUACUGGGCGUAAAGCGCGCGUAGGUGGCUAAUUAAGUCAAAUGUGAAAUCCCCGAGCUUAACUUGGGAAUUGCAUUCGAUACUGGUUAGCUAGAGUAUGGGAGAGGAUGGUAGAAUUCCAGGUGUAGCGGUGAAAUGCGUAGAGAUCUGGAGGAAUACCGAUGGCGAAGGCAGCCAUCUUGCCUAAUGCUGACACUGAGGUGCGAAAGCAUGGGGAGCAAACAGGAUUAGAUACCCUGGUAGUCCAUGCCGUAAACGAUGUCUACUAGCCGUUGGGGCCCUUGAGGCUUUAGUGGCGCAGCUAACGCGAUAAGUAGACCGCCUGGGGAGUACGGUCGCAAGACUAAAACUCAAAUGAAUUGGCGGGG
rnacentral:rRNA from 1 species